rnacentral:rRNA from 1 species
GUGGGGAAUUUUGCGCAAUGGGGGAAACCCUGACGCAGCAACGCCGCGUGGAGGAUGAAGUCCCUUGGGACGUAAACUCCUUUCGACCGGGACGAUAAUGACGGUACCGGAAGAAGAAGCCCCGGCUAACUUCGUGCCAGCAGCCGCGGUAAUACGAGGGGGGCGAGCGUUGUUCGGAAUUAUUGGGCGUAAAGGGUGCGUAGGCGGUUCGGUAAGUUUCGUGUGAAAUCUUCGGGCUCAACUCGAAGCCUGCACGAGAUACUGCCGGGCUUGAGUGUGGGAGAGGUGAGUGGAAUUUCCGGUGUAGCGGUGAAAUGCGUAGAUAUCGGAAGGAACACCUGUGGCGAAAGCGGCUCACUGGACCACAACUGACGCUGAGGCACGAAAGCUAGGGGAGCAAAC